rnacentral:misc_RNA from 1 species
ACAAGGUUUCCGUAGGUGAACCUGCGGAAGGAUCAUUAUAGAAAAUGACGUGAACUCUUAACGGAGUUCUCUCAAAGUGUUGGAGGGGAAGGCCUGCGCUUAAUUGCGCGGCUGUUUUUAAUCUCCUCCGCCUUUGAUACACACAUUGGAGUUUCUACUUUUUUGUUCUCUUUGGGAGGGUUCUGCUCUCCCAGAGGUAAACACAAACAAUCUUUUAUUAUACUAUUAACACAGUCAAAUGAAUUUUAAAAACAAAAUAUUCAAAACUUUCAACAACGGAUCUCUUGGUUCUCGCAUCGAUGAAGAACGCAGCGAACUGCGAUACGUAAUGUGAAUUGCAGAAUUCCGUGAAUCAUCGAAUCUUUGAACGCACAUUGCGCCCCUUGGUAUUCCGGGGGGCAUGCCUGUUUGAGCGUCAUUUCCCUCUCAAACUUUACGUUUGGUAGUGAGCGAUACUCUACUCUGGAGUUUGCUUGAAAAUGGGAGGCCAUAGGCGAAGCAUUGCUUUCCAAUCCUGCGGCCCUCUGCUUACUUCCCCUUGUGGGUUGUGGCAGGGGAAAGCGGGAGGCGCCUUGCCACGAUAGUCGUAUUAGGUUUUACCGACUCGGCGAAAGUGAAGAGGUUUGCUUUUUAAAAAGAAGCAGGCAGCGUCUGGCUUGACAAAAUUCUCAAAGUUUGACCUCAAAUCAGGUAGGAUUACCCGCUGAACUUAAGCAUAUCA